AUUGAACGCUGGCGGCAUGCCUAAUACAUGCAAGUCGAGCGAACAGAUGAAGUGCUUGCACUUCUGACGUUAGCGGCGAACGGGUGAGUAACACGUAAGGAAUCUACCUAUAAGCGGGGGAUAACAUUCGGAAACGGGUGCUAAUACCGCAUAAUAUCUUCUUCCGCAUGGAAGAAGAUUGAAAGACGGCUCUGCUGUCACUUAUAGAUGACCUUGCGGUGCAUUAGUUAGUUGGUGGGGUAACGGCCUACCAAGACGAUGAUGCAUAGCCGACCUGAGAGGGUGACGGGCCAAAUUGGGACUGAGACACGGCCCAAACUCCUACGGGAGGCAGCAGUAGGGAAUCUUCCGCAAUGGGCGAAAGCCUGACGGAGCAAUGCCGCGUGAGUGAAGAAGGCCUUCGGGUCGUAAAACUCUGUUAUAAGAGAAGAACAAAUUGUAGAGUAACUGCUACAGUCUUGACGGUAUCUUAUCAGAAAGCCACGGCUAACUACGUGCCAGCCGCCGCGGUAA
rnacentral:rRNA from 1 species